CACUAGCGAACUCAACAAUAAAGGAAGGCAUGAAUGUUUGGAUGGCAGUAUAGAGAAUGCUUUUUUUUUCUCAAACCUGAAUAGAAAGUUCAAAGAAGAAGAGACGAAGCUUAUUCUACUAGUCGGUAUCCACGAACAAUGCCCCCUUGCUCUCACAUGCCUAAGCAGCGGUCCCGAUCCCAAGCCACCGACCAUUAGAGAAUGCUAUCAUGUAAGGAUCAACUGAUAGCUUAAUUUUUAUAAAAUCUUAUAACUGUCUUUCCCACUAACUUGGCAAGAGGCUCUUGUUUUGACAAAAAUUGAAAGGAAAGAGAAGAAAGUAAUAUUUUGAGAUCUAUGCCAAC
rnacentral:lncRNA from 1 species